rnacentral:rRNA from 1 species
GACGAACGCUGGCGGUGUGCUUAACACAUGCAAGUCGAACGGUAAGGCCCUUUCGGGGGUACACGAGUGGCGAACGGGUGAGUAACACGUGAGUAACCUGCCCUCAUCUCUGGGAUAACAGUCGGAAACGGUUGCUAAUACUGGAUAUGAGCUUGCAAGGCAUCUUGUGGGUUGGAAAGAUUUUUUUGGUUGGGGAUGGACUCGCGGCCUAUCAGCUUGUUGGUGAGGUAGUGGCUCACCAAGGCUUCGACGGGUAGCCGGCCUGAGAGGGCGACCGGCCACAUUGGGACUGAGAUACGGCCCAAACGCCUACGGGAGGCAGCAGUGGGGAAUAUUGCACAAUGGACGGAAGUCUGAUGCAGCAACGCCGCGGGCGGGAUGACGGCCUUCGGGUUGUAAACCGCUUUCAAUUGUGACGAAGCUUUUUGUGACGGUAGCAGUAGAAGAAGCACCGGCUAACUACGUG